rnacentral:rRNA from 1 species
UACGUAGGGUGCAGGCGUAAUCGGAAUUACUGGGCGUAAAGCGUGCGCAGGCGGUUUGCUAAGACAGGUGUGAAAUCCCCGGGCUUAACCUGGGAACUGCGUUUGUUACUGGCAAGCUUGAGUGUGGCAGAGGGGGGUGGAAUUCCACGUGGUAGCAGUGAAAUGCGUAGGAGAAUGUGGAGGAACACCGAUGGCGAAGGCGAGUCCCUGGACGAUUCCGUGACACUGAGGCACGAAAGCUAGGGGAGCAAACAGG